AGUGAACGCUGGCGGUAGGCCUAACACAUGCAAGUCGAACGGCAGCACAGUAAGAGCUUGCUCUUACGGGUGGCGAGUGGCGGACGGGUGAGGAAUACAUCGGAAUCUACUUUUUCGUGGGGGAUAACGUAGGGAAACUUACGCUAAUACCGCAUACGACCUACGGGUGAAAGCAGGGGAUCUUCGGACCUUGCGCGAUUGAAUGAGCCGAUGUCGGAUUAGCUAGUUGGCGGGGUAAAGGCCCACCAAGGCGACGAUCCGUAGCUGGUCUGAGAGGAUGAUCGGCCACACUGGAACUGAGACACGGUCCAGACUCCUACGGGAGGCAGCAGUGGGGAAUAUUGGACAAUGGGCGCAAGCCUGAUCCAGCCAUACCGCGUGGGUGAAGAAGGCCUUCGGGUUGUAAAGCCCUUUGUUGGGAAAGAAAAGCAGCAGGUUAAUACCCCGCUGUUCUGACGGUACCCAAAGAAUAAGCACCGGCUAACUUCGUG
rnacentral:rRNA from 1 species